AUAAAUAUUUUGAUAACAAAAGAUAAUAUAUAUUUUUGAUGCUGGAACACCCCCAGCUUCCACUGUCUUAUUAAUAUGAGGCCACACAGUAUGGACAGACUACUGAAUGUGCCGUGGAUCUCCAUGAUCUUGAUAAUUUGUGGGGGGUGGGGGGAAGUUUCUGUCCUGAAUUCCAACUAGUGUCAUUCUAGAAGAAGCAAAUCUUGUUCUGAUCCUCUUAGCUGAGGGUUGUCUCAAGUUAGUGGCUUUGUAAGGAAAUGCCUCCCUCAGACCAUGCUGGGGCUGGUCCACAGAAAAUCUUUCCAUCAGGUUUGACCCCCUUGGCACAGACUCUGGUAUACAUUACAGGUCUGGAACCUUGACUAUUUAAACUGAGCCCUAUGGACGGAUACUUCACAGCAGAGGAAGGAGACUCCGAAGGGAUUACCUUAUUCCAUUUAUCUUGGAAGUUGACAUCUGAGCCAUCUGUUCUGAAUCUGGAAAAGAAUUCACUGAUCCUAUUGUUAUGUUGGUUCCAAGUGCUUCCAUUGGGGCCUCCCCAAAAAAGCAGUGGCAGAGUUGAGUCUACCAUCCUUGCCGAAGGUCUGCCCAAUGCGUUUGCAUUGAUCUAAAUGCAAAUUCUAAAAAGUGAUCCGUGAAUUCUGACAUAAAAGAACGUCGCUUCACUGGCAACAGAGGAAGUCGUCCUGAAGAAAUCCCAGCAGUCACCUUUCAACAACCAAAGAAAAAUUUAAUUUCAUAAUUUAAAAUUAAUAAAAAGGAAAAUAAACAAAUGAAGCGAAACUGA
rnacentral:lncRNA from 1 species